rnacentral:rRNA from 1 species
GAGUUUGAUCCUGCUCAGAUUGAACGCUGGCGGCAGGCCUAACACAUGCAAGUCGAGCGCGCCUUCGGGUGAGCGGCGGACGGGUUAGUAACGCGUGGGAACGUGCCCUUCUCUACGGAAUAGCCUCUGGAAACGGAGAGUAAUACCGUAUACGCCCUUUGGGGGAAAGAUUUAUCGGAGAAGGAUCGGCCCGCGUUAGAUUAGGUAGUUGGUGGGGUAAUGGCCUACCAAGCCUACGAUCUAUAGCUGGUUUUAGAGGAUGAUCAGCAACACUGGGACUGAGACACGGCCCAGACUCCUACGGGAGGCAGCAGUGGGGAAUCUUAGACAAUGGGGGCAACCCUGAUCUAGCCAUGCCGCGUGAGUGAUGAAGGCCUUAGGGUCGUAAAGCUCUUUCGCCUGUGAUGAUAAUGACAGUAGCAGGUAAAGAAACCCCGGCUAACUCCGUGCCAGCAGCCGCGGUAAUACGGAGGGGGUUAGCGUUGUUCGGAAUUACUGGGCGUAAAGCGCGCGUAAGCGGAUUAGAAAGUUGGGGGUGAAAUCCC